rnacentral:rRNA from 1 species
AGAGUUUGAUCCUGGCUCAGGAUGAACGCUAGCGGGAGGCCUAACACAUGCAAGUCGAACGGGAUUGGUAGCAAUACCAUGAGAGUGGCGCACGGGUGAGUAACGCGUAUGCAACCUGCCUUUAACAGAGGGAUAGCCCAUAGAAAUGUGGAUUAAUACCUCAUAGCCCUGGAAAGUCGCAUGGUUUUCCAGGUAAAGCUCCGGCGGUUAAAGAUGGGCAUGCGUGACAUUAGCUAGUUGGUGAGGUAACGGCUCACCAAGGCAACGAUGUCUAGGGGUUCUGAGAGGAUGAUCCCCCACACUGGUACUGAGACACGGACCAGACUCCUACGGGAGGCAGCAGUGAGGAAUAUUGGUCAAUGGGCGCAAGCCUGAACCAGCCAUCCCGCGUGCAGGAUGACGGCCCUAUGGGUUGUAAACUGCUUUUGUACAGGAAGAAAAAUCCCUAUGUAUAGGGACCUGCCGGUACUGUACGAAUAAGCAUCGGCUAACUCCGUGCCAGCAGCCGCGGUAAUACGGAGGAUGCAAGCGUUAUCCGGAUUCAUUGGGUUUAAAGGGUGCGUAGGCGGCUUUUUAAGUCAGUGGUGAAAUCCUGUCGCUCAACGAUAGAAUUGCCAUUGAUACUGAAAAGCUUGAGUUCAGUUGAGGUAAGCGGAAUGUGUAGUGUAGCGGUGAAAUGCUUAGAUAUUACACAGAACACCGAUUGCGAAGGCAGCUUACUAAACUGACACUGACGCUGAUGCACGAAAGCGUGGGGAUCGAACAGGAUUAGAUACCCUGGUAGUCCACGCCGUAAACGAUGAUCACUCGCUGUAUGCGAUACACAGUAUGCGGCCAAGCGAAAGCAUUAAGUGAUCCACCUGGGGAGUACGAUCGCAAGGUUGAAACUCAAAGGAAUUGACGGGGGCCCGCACAAGCGGAGGAACAU